rnacentral:rRNA from 1 species
UACAGAGGGGGCAAGCGUUGUUCGGAAUUACUGGGCGUAAAGGGCGCGUAGGCGGCCUUCUAAGUCGAACGUGAAAUCCCUGGGCUCAACCCAGGAACUGCGUCCGAUACUGGGAGGCUUGAAUCCGGGAGAGGGAUGCGGAAUUCCAGGUGUAGCGGUGAAAUGCGUAGAUAUCUGGAGGAACACCGGUGGCGAAGGCGGCAUCCUGGACCGACACUGACGCUGAGGAGCGAAAGCCAGGGGAGCAAACGGG